UGCAUUAGAUAAAAUUGAGUUUUAUGAUCCGACCUUCUAUGUUUUGAUGAAUGGAUGUGUGCCUCUCCCCUCGUAGACUGGAGGCUUCCCUCCCUCUCUACGAACGAAUGGAUCGUAUCGACUUGGAAAAUGGAAAGAUUUGUACAAAUUAUACGUUUCGUCACCACUUUGUGGAAAAUAGUUAGGUAUGAAUAUGUUAGAUACUUGUGAUUCGAUUGGUGAAAUAGUAUCUCUCCCCCCAAAAGCAUGUUUUUUUUUUACUGACGCACAAAGAAAAUAUUUUGUUGUGAAUGAACAAGAUAUUGAGGAAUUGUCCAUACGUAAAAUCAUAAUUAUAGAUACGAGCCUUUUCCACAGAAAAGGGGAAUCUUGUGUUACAAUAGAAGCAGAAGUGAUGUGAAUUUUCUUUUCACUCUCUGUUGUGAAAUAAGUGUUGGUAAU
rnacentral:lncRNA from 1 species